rnacentral:sRNA from 1 species
AUAUUUGAAACAAUGGAGGAGGAUUCACUUUCUUCUUUGGUUGAGUGCAGUGGCUCAUGUAUGUAAUCCCAGCCCUUUGGGAGGCUGAGGCAGGAGGAUUGCUUGAGUCCAGGAGUUUGAGACCAGCCUGGGCAACAUAAGGAGACUGUUGCUAUGGAUUACCAAAAAAAAAAAGAUCAAGCACUGCGCCUAGCAGAAAUUUUACUACCUCUCCAAAAUCAUCAGCAAGUCCCUAUUCCUCAGUGUCUGCCUCUCUCAUUGCAAAUGGUGAUAGCACUAGCACCUGUGGGAUGCACAGUUCCGGUGUCAGCAGGGGUGGAUCUGGCUUUUCUGCUUCGUAUAAUUGUCAGGAGCCACCAUCCUCUCAUAUACAACCUGGGCUCUGUGGACUUGGAAACCUGGGAAACACCUGCUUCAUGAACUCUGCUUUACAGUGCUUGAGCAACACUGCACCACUGACUGACUACUUUCUCAAAGAUGAGUAUGAAGCCGAAAUCAACAGAGACAACCCUCUGGGGAUGAAAGGGGAAAUUGCAGAAGCCUAU